UGGCACGGCAUUAUUAAUGUUCUCUGCUUAUAGUGAAGAUUAUAUAUAGACCGUGCCGAAAGAAAACGCUUUUUCACUCAAUGUUAAUAGUUGAAUGGAAUGGCAGCGGCCAGACAACCGUAGGGCAGGAUCCACAGAUGAAGGGCUUUCUGUGCGCUUUGUCUACUAAUUCCUUGCCCACAUUU